CUCCAUAGUCGAAUUAUCACCCGCAUGAAAAAUGUGCUUCAGCUCAGAGACUUUCAACGUGGAAAAUGGUUGUUUUGACGAAAUCGACCGAGGCAGAAAUGACCUUUCAGGAAAUUUAUCGCUAAUGUCCGGCAUUGGUAUCACCUUCCCUUUCUUUAACAUAGACUCCCGAAAAAAUCUGCCGGAGCCACCCUUGGUGGUGGCAGAGUCGAUGGCAGAGUCGCCAUAGUUUUUUUGGAGGACUACAUCCAUAGAGUCGACGGCAGAGUCGCCAUAGUUUUUUUGGAGGACUACA